rnacentral:rRNA from 1 species
AACGUAGGACACAAGCGUUAUCCGGAGUUACUGGGCGUAAAGGGCGUGUAGGCGGAUCGGUAAGUCUACUCUGAAAUCUCCGGGCUUAACUCGGAAAGGUCAACUGAUACUGUGCGACUAGAGUGCAGAAGGGGCAACUGGAAUUCUCGGUGUAGCGGUGAAAUGCGUAGAUAUCGAGAGGAACACCUGCGGCGAAGGCGGGUUGCUGGGCUGACACUGACGCUGAUGCGCGAAAGCCAGGGGAGCGAACGGG